UGGGGGAUAUUGCACAAUGGGCGAAAGCCUGAUGCAGCGACGCCGCGUGGGGGAUGAAGGCUUUCGGGUUGUAAACCUCUUUCGCUAUCGAACAAGGCCCGCUUAGGGUGUGUUGAGUGUAGGGGUUGAUUAGCGCCGGCUAACUACGUGCCAGCAGCCGCGGUAAUACGUGGGGCGCGAGCGUUGUCCGGAAUUAUUGGGCGUAAAGGGCUUGUAGGUGGCUGGUUGCGUCUGUCGUGAAAGCUCAUGGCUUAACUGUGGGUUUGAGGUGGGUACGGGCUGGCUUGAGUGCAGUAGGGGAGGGUGGAAUUCCUGGUGUAGCGGUGGAAUGCGCAGAUAUCAGGAGGAAUACCGGUGGCGAAGGCGGGUCUCUGGGCUGUUACUGACACUGAGGAGCGAAAGCGUGGGGAGCGAACAGG
rnacentral:rRNA from 1 species